GAUAAACAACAUGUGUUAUAUGCAUACCACCGGAUGCUACUCAGCAAUAAAAAGAAACAAACUGUUGAUACACACAGUGUAAUUGUAAUAGGUUCACUGCCCCAUGCACAUAACAAGUCAAUGCACUGAGACACCAGGUUGCAGCAGAGAAAGAGUUGUAAUCAUAAGGCUGCUGAACAAGGAGACAGGAGGAAACCUCAAAUCCAUCUUUUUGAGGAGCUUGGAGGUAGGGUUUUUAAGGGUUUCAGAGUGGGCUGAAGUGUGGAGAUUGUUGAUUGGUCGGAGUGCAGGGUGAAGUCAUGGGGCAGGGAGAUGAAGAAACUAUUCUCAGGCUGACUUGGUUCCUCCUUGGGGUCUUUAAUCUGGUUGCUGUCAGCUGUUCUGCUGGAAUUCAGGAUCUGCUUAAACAUUCUUUCUUUCUUUCUUUUUUUUUUUUUUUGAGGAGUAUAUCUUCAUUUAUUUUUAUUUUUAUUUUAUUUUAUUUUAUUUUUUAUUAUACUUUAAGUUUUAGGGUACAUGUGCACAUUGUGCAGGUUAGUUACAUAUGUAUACAUGUGCCAUGCUGGUGUGCUGCACCCACUAAC
rnacentral:lncRNA from 1 species